GAUGAACGCUGGCGGCGUGCCUAAUACAUGCAAGUCGAGCGAACAGACGAGGAGCUUGCUCCUCUGACGUUAGCGGCGGACGGGUGAGUAACACGUGGAUAACCUACCUAUAAGACUGGGAUAACUUCGGGAAACCGGAGCUAAUACCGGAUAAUAUAUUGAACCGCAUGGUUCAAUAGUGAAAGACGGUUUUGCUGUCACUUAUAGAUGGAUCCGCGCCGCAUUAGCUAGUUGGUAAGGUAACGGCUUACCAAGGCGACGAUGCGUAGCCGACCUGAGAGGGUGAUCGGCCACACUGGAACUGAGACACGGUCCAGACUCCUACGGGAGGCAGCAGUAGGGAAUCUUCCGCAAUGGGCGAAAGCCUGACGGAGCAACGCCGCGUGAGUGAUGAAGGUCUUCGGAUCGUAAAACUCUGUUAUUAGGGAAGAACAAAUGUGUAAGUAACUAGGCACGUAUUGACGGUACCUAAUCAGAAAGCCACGUCUAACUACGUGC
rnacentral:rRNA from 1 species